GUGCUCACUUCAGGGGCACGUACACUAAAAUUAGAAUGGUACAGUGAAGAUUCCAGGGCCCCCAAGGCUGACACGCAGAUUCAUGGAAUGCUCCACAUUUUU
ensembl:snRNA U6 U6 spliceosomal RNA